rnacentral:snoRNA from 1 species
AAACCAUGGUGUGGGCAUUGAGCUUGGUAGCCCUUGAAUCUCUCCCAGGCUUCACUGAAGCCUUCCAAGUUCUUCUGUUGAAAGCUAGAAAUCUCAUUUCUCAGCUU